rnacentral:misc_RNA from 1 species
GUGAGUCAUCGAAUCUUUGAACGCACAUUGCGCCCCUUGGUAUUCCAUGGGGCAUGCCUGUUCGAGCGUCAUUUGAACCCUCAAGCUCUGCUUGGUGUUGGGUGUUUGUCCCGCCAUUGCGCGUGGACUCGCCUUAAAGCAAUUGGCAGCCAUGUAAUCCGGCUUUGAGCGCAGCACAUUGCGUACUCUCUACUGGUACAUUGGCAUCCAGAAGCGCAUUUUUUACUCUUGACCUCGGAUCAGGUAGGGAUACCCGCUGAACUUAAGCAUAUCAAUAAGCGGAGGA